rnacentral:rRNA from 1 species
GUGAGGAAUAUUGGACAAUGGGCGCAAGCCUGAUCCAGCCAUGCCGCGUGCAGGAAGACGCAUCUAUGGUGUGUAAACUGCUUUUGUACGGGAAGAAACACUCCCUCGUGAGGGAGCUUGACGGUACCGUAAGAAUAAGGAUCGGCUAACUCCGUGCCAGCAGCCGCGGUAAUACGGAGGAUCCAAGCGUUAUCCGGAAUCAUUGGGUUUAAAUGGUCCGUAGGCGGUUUAAUAAGUCAGUGGUGAAAGCCCAUCGCUCAACGAUGGAACGGCCAUUGAUACUGUUAGACUUGAAUUACAAGGAAGUAACUAGAAUAUGUAGUAUAGCGGUGAAAUGCUUAGAUAUUACAUGGAAUACCAAUUGCGAAGGCAGGUUACUACUUGUGGAUUGACGCUGAUGGACGAAAGCGUGGGGAGCGAACAGGAUUAGAAACCCGGGUAGUCC